ACGGGUGAGUAAUGCCUAGGAAUCUGCCUGGUAGUGGGGGGCAACGUUUCGAAAGGAACGCUAAUACCGCAUACGUCCUACGGGAGAAAGCAGGGGACCUUCGGGCCUUGCGCUAUCAGAUGAGCCUAGGUCGGAUUAGCUAGUUGGUGAGGUAAUGGCUCACCAAGGCGACGAUCCGUAACUGGUCUGAGAGGAUGAUCAGUCACACUGGAACUGAGACACGGUCCAGACUCCUACGGGAGGCAGCAGUGGGGAAUAUUGGACAAUGGGCGAAAGCCUGAUCCAGCCAUGCCGCGUGUGUGAAGAAGGUCUUCGGAUUGUAAAGCACUUUAAGUUGGGAGGAAGGGCAGUAAAUUAAUACUUUGCUGUUUUGACGUUACCGACAGAAUAAGCACCGGCUAACUCUGUGCCAGCAGCCGCGGUAAUACAGAGGGUGCAAGCGUUAAUCGGAAUUACUGGGCGUAAAGCGCGCGUAGGUGGUUUGUUAAGUUGGAUGUGAAAUCCCCGGGCUCAACCUGGGAACUGCAUCCAAAACUGGCAAGCUAGAGUAUGGUAGAGGGUGGUGGAAUUUCCUGUGUAGCGGUG
rnacentral:rRNA from 1 species